CAAAAUGUAGCUUAAUAAAAGCUCUCCGCUUACACCCGGGAAAUGUCCCGUGCAACCCAGACCAUUUUGG
rnacentral:tRNA from 1 species